GAGACAGCAGUAGCCGCGGGAAUACAGAGGGUGCGAGCGUUAAUCGGAUUUACUGGGCGUAAAGCGUGCGUAGGCGGCUUCUUAAGUCGGAUGUGAAAUCCCUGAGCUUAACUUAGGAAUUGCAUUCGAUACUGGGAAGCUAGAGUAUGGGAGAGGAUGGUAGAAUUCCAGGUGUAGCGGUGAAAUGCGUAGAGAUCUGGAGGAAUACCGAUGGCGAAGGCAGCCAUCUGGCCUAAUACUGACGCUGAGGUACGAAAGCAUGGGGAGCAAACAGGGUUAGAUACCCCCGUAGUCCCUGUCUCUUAUAA
rnacentral:rRNA from 1 species